UACGAAGGGGGCGAGCGUUGUUCGGAUUUACUGGGCGUAAAGCGUGCGCAGGCGGUUCUCCAAGUCCGUUGUGAAAGCCCCGGGCUCAACCUGGGAAUGGCAGUGGAAACUAGGGGACUGGAAUCUGGCAGAGGGGGGUGGAAUGCCGCGUGUAGCAGUGAAAUGCGUAGAGAUGCGGCGGAACACCGAUGGCGAAGGCAGCCCCCUGGGCUGAGAUUGACGCUCAGGCACGAAAGCGUGGGGAGCAAACAGG
rnacentral:rRNA from 1 species